UACAAAAAACGAAAAGAAAUGAAUUGAGGCCCUUUUGUGUAAGCAGCAAAACACUGUCAGGGAUCGACAUUUUCAAGAUUUUAAACCAGAAGAAAGGCAUCAGCACUAUUCUCACUAGGGUGCGCUCAAAGGACGUGGCUUUCAUUCCUGGCAGCUGUGCCUAGCAAACAAGUGUGUGAUUUACUGGUGAGGGUUAAAGUGGUGAUGAAAGCCUCUUCUAGUGUGUUGUCUUGUAACUCUUCAUUAUGAUACGUUUAUUAUGACCCCCGUUUUGUGUUGCUGGAGACAAAAUCCAGCAUGAGCUAAGACCAGGAAUGCUGAGUUCUGCUCCUGUUUUUUUAUUGCUGGAUUUCCCUGAAAUGUUAUCAAGGGUAUUUUAUUUCACCUCAGUCACAGUUUAGCAUUCAGAGGGAUAUAUUUCUGUUGUUUUCUGUGGGUUUAUUUUUACAUUUUUCUGACUUGAAAGCUUUCUGUUGUACUAACAUGUUUACAAAUUAGUUAAAGAUUGCAGCUGUUUUAAUUGCUCAAACUGUCAUUCCAUUUGUCACCUGCACAGAUAGAAAAGCCAAAGCUGUGUCUCCUUCCUGUCACACAGAUUAUUUAAGGGUGACUGGGAGUAGUCAGAAUGGAUUCACAAAGGGGAAAUAACGCUUGCCUAACGAGAUAGCCUUCUACAGCAAAGUCAGUGGAAGAAGUGAGAGCUGUGGAUGUUAUUUAUUUCAACUUCAGGGAGCCAUUCGGUGCUGUCUUCCAUAACAUCCUUGCAGCUGAACUGAUGAAGUGCAGAUGAGCAUGAAGAGUGGUCUCCAAGAUGUGAGAUCCCUGGUCAACACGUAGAGACCACUGCAGUGCUUAACACUUGGUCUCAAUUCCUGCUGGCAGCUAUUGCAUUCCCACAAGUUGGGAGCAGGAAAUCCUUUUUCUCCCAUUAUCCUGUGUGCUUUUGGAGGGGCUGAUGCAUUCCAAUAAGAGGAGAUGGAGGGGGCAGAGCUUUCAGUAUAGCUAAGAUUUUAUUUCUCUGCCUUCUUGGGGUGGAAAUGUGGAGCUGGUCCUGACCAGGGAAGAGUUAAUUCCCUGACUCAAAGCUCAGAAACAGAAGACACCAUGGUAGUCCCAUCUCUUUAGAGGAAAGAGAAAAUCAUUAGCAUGUUCAGAAGGAGGGGAAAGAAGUGGUAAGAGGGUGCUGGUACUUGGCACGCUCAGUUGAGACUACAUUUUUCACAGCUUCUACUUACAGCUGUUUUCUUGAGAUGGUUGCCAUUUGCUUCAUUUUGGAAAUGCCAGAGGUGGAGAACCAUUCUGGGAAUGCACGAUGGGAAGCACAGUGUGGCAGUGCAACUCCACAUCAUGGCUCGGGGAAGGGGGGCUUUCCAGUCACAUGGCAUUUGUUGUGAUCUUUUAGAUCUUUAGGUUCUGUACUUCAUGGAUCCAAGAGUUCCAACUUCUGGUAGUGUUGUAAGAGGGAAUUAUCUGCUUAUCAGCUAAAACUUCUGCAGGCUGGCAGAAGACUAUCUGCAUAGCUCAGAGACUGGUGUAUGCUUUCACAAAGUGUUUUUACGGCAGUUCUGAGGAACUGGAUCUGCAGUCUUUUUGGUUUGUCAAUGUGAAGGUUUUUGCUUUUCUGGGGAAAUGUGACAAUCCCAGUGCAUCUUGGCUCAGCUGUCUGAUGAGGUGUGCAGGCAGCUGGAGAGGUGAGAAAUGUUGAACCUGAGUCACAACCUUUUCCUCCAGCAUUUGUUAGCCUCCCUGUCAUUCUCUUAAAGACUCAUUUGACUUACAAACUCCGGUGAAGAAUUCUUGCUAGCUGCCAUCUAGAAACACAGCAGAUGAGAGUGAUGAACUGUACUGAGGAAUACAAAACACAGCUGCUGUUUCAUCACUGUGUUCACAAUAGACGAAUGACACAAAAGCUUUGCCCGAAGGUCAUAUCAUUUUAUAUUCCUAAUAAUUUAAAAUGUGCAACUGCAUAAUGCAAGUAUGUAAAUGUAAAAAAUAAUUUCACUGCCUGUCUUGAUGGAAUUUGAGAUUGGGAUGUUUGUUUUGUCUCUGAAGUUACAGAAGCUUUUUUGCUAAUGACAGCUUCUUAAGGAAAAUAAAAAUCUUAUACAAGUUCUGGUAUCUUCUGACUGCUC
ensembl:lncRNA